CCCUUAGAGUUUGAUCCUGGCUCAGGAUGAACGCUGGCGGCGUGCUUAACACAUGCAAGUCGAACGAAGCACUUUUACAGAUUUCUUCGGAAUGAAGUUUUAGUGACUGAGUGGCGGACGGGUGAGUAACGCGUGGGUAACCUGCCUCACACAGGGGGAUAACAGUUGGAAACGGCUGCUAAUACCGCAUAAGCGCACAGUACCGCAUGGUACAGUGUGAAAAACUCCGGUGGUGUGAGAUGGACCCGCGUCUGAUUAGCUAGUUGGCAGGGUAACGGCCUACCAAGGCGACGAUCAGUAGCCGACCUGAGAGGGUGACCGGCCACAUUGGGACUGAGACACGGCCCAAACUCCUACGGGAGGCAGCAGUGGGGAAUAUUGCACAAUGGGGGAAACCCUGAUGCAGCGACGCCGCGUGAGCGAAGAAGUAUUUCGGUAUGUAAAGCUCUAUCAGCAGGGAAGAAGAAAUGACGGUACCUGACUAAGAAGCACCGGCAAAUCUG
rnacentral:rRNA from 1 species